AGAGUUUGAUCAUGGCUCAGAACGAACGUUGGCGGCGUGGAUUAGGCAUGCAAGUCGUGGGACAGCUGGGGGCAACUCCAGUUGACCGGCGUAAGGGGUAGUUAUGCAUAGGUAACCAUCCCUCCAGAUGGGGAUAACACCGAGAAAUCGGUGCUAAUACCCAGCGCCGUUGCGAUGGGGCAUCUUGUUGCAACGAAAGGUGUGAUUCCGCUGGAGGACGGGCUUAUGUGGUAUUAGCUAGUUGGUAGGGUAAUGGCCUACCAAGGCAUUGAUGGGUAGCGGGUGUGAGAGCACGACCCGCGUCAUUGGGACUGAGACACUGCCCAGACACCUACGGGUGGCUGCAGUCGAGAAUCUUCGGCAAUGGGCGCAAGCCUGACCGAGCGACGCCGCGUGUGGGAUGAAGGCCUUCGGGUUGUAAACCACUGUCAGAGGGGAUGAAAUGCAGGUGGGUUCUCCCAUCUGUUUGACAUAGCCUCAGAGAAGA
rnacentral:rRNA from 1 species